rnacentral:lncRNA from 10 species
CUCAUGGUUCUGUAGGCUCUACAGGAAGCAUGGUGGGGGAAGCCUCAGGAAACUUACAAUCAUGACAGAAGGUGAAGUGGAAGUAGGCUUGUCUUAUGUGGCCAGAGCAGGAAGAAGAGAGAGAAGGGGGAGGUGCCACACACUUUUAAACAACCAGAUCUCAUGAGAACUCACUAUCACAAGAACAGCAAGGGGAAAGCCUGUCCCCAUGAUCCAAUCACCUCCCACCAGGCCUCUCCUCCAACACUGGGAAUUACAAUUUGACAUGAGAUUUGAGGAGGGACACACAUCCAAACCAUAUCAUGGGGUCUCGCCAUGUUGCCCAGACUGGUCUUGAUCUACUGGCCUCAAGCAAUCCUCCUGCCUCAGCCUCCCAAAGUGCUGGGAUCACAGAUGUGAGCCACUGCACCUGGCCCCUUUUACUCUCAAUAUUAUAGAGUAAUGGUCAGAAAACUGUGGCCCCUGUGCCAAAUCCAGUUCCCCAUCUGUUUUGUAAAUAAAGUAUAAUUGAAAUAUAGCCAUGCUUAUUCAUUUCCCUAUUCUCUGUGGCUGCUUACAUACUACAACAGCAGAGUUGACUAGGUAUGACAGAGACUGUACAGCCCUUAAAGCCUAAAAUAUUGACUCUCUGGCCCUUAACAGAACAAAUCUUCCAACCCUUGCUGUAUAACAUUUUAUUGUACAAAUACAAUUGACCCUUGAACAAUGCACGAGGUUAGGGAUACCAACACCCCACACAGUCAAAUAUCUGCAUAUGCUUUUGACUUCCCCAAAACUUAACUACUUACAGCCUACUGUUCACCAGAAGUAUUAACUGAUCAUUAACAGUUGAUUAACACAUAUUUUGCAUGUUAUUUUUAUCACAUACUGUACACUUACAAUCAAGUAAGCUUAGGGAAAAGAAAAUGAUAUUAAGAAAAUCAUAAGAAAGAGAAAAUGUAUUUACUGUGGAAGUGGAUCAAGGAAGAUGGUCUUACCAUCUCAGGGGUAGCAGAGGUAGAAGAAAAUCUGCAUAUAAGUGGACCCAGAAAAUGUGCAUAUUAAGUGGACCCACAUAGUUUAAACUCGUGUUGUUCAAGGCUCAACUGCUACCAAAACUUAUUUAUCCAUUCCAUUACUGAUGGAUAUGUGGAUGGUUUCCAAUUUGAGGCUACUACAAACAUUCCUGCUAUGAAUAUUCAUGUGCAUGUCUCCUGUGCACAGGAUCAUGCACUAUAUACCUAGAAGUGGAACUGUGAGAUCAUAUAAUAGGCAUAGCUUUAAAACUGUAGAUAUUGCCACCUGGUUAUACAUUGCAAAAUGGUUUUUCCAAUUUCCUUUUCCACUAGCACAAAAUGAGCAUUCCUGUGGCUCCAUGACCUUAUCUACACCAAGUAUAGUGUUUAGUGCUCUCUCAUUGCGUUUAGUGUUAUCUCAUUGUAUUUCUUAACUAUUGCUUCAAAACAAAUUAUCCCAGAACUUAGUGCUUAAAAUACCAGACACAUAAUCUCACAUAGUUUCUUUGGGUCAGGAAUCUAGGAAUGGCUUAGCUGGGUGGUUUGGGCUUAGGCUGUCUCAUGAGCUUGAACUCAAGAGAGACUCUGGUCAGAACACCCCA